CACGUAGGGCGCAAGCGUUGUCCGGAAUUAUUGGGCGUAAAGAGCUCGUAGGCGGUCUGUUGCGUCCGCUGUGAAAACUCGGGGCUUAACCCCGAGCCUGCAGUGGAUACGGGCAGACUAGAGGUAGGUAGGGGAGAAUGGAAUUCCCGGUGUAGCGGUGAAAUGCGUAGAUAUCUGGAGGAAUACCGGUGGCGAAGGCGGCAUCCUGGACCAUUACUGACGCUGAGGCGCGAAAGCUAGGGGAGCAAACGGG
rnacentral:rRNA from 1 species